rnacentral:rRNA from 1 species
AACGCGAAGAACCUUACCUGGAUUUGACAUCCUCUGAAGUUAGUAGAGAUAUUAACGGCCCGCAAGGGACAGAGAGACAGGUGCUGCAUGGCUGUCGUCAGCUCGUGUUGUGAAAUGUUGGGUUAAGUCCCGCAACGAGCGCAACCCCUGUGCUUGGUUGCCAUCAUUAAGUUGGGCACUCCAAGCAGACUGCCGUCGUCAAGACGGAGGAAGGUGGGGAUGACGUCAAGUCCUCAUGGCCUUUAUAUCCAGGGCGACACACGUGAUACAAUGGUAGGUACAGAGGGUAGCCAAGUGGUGACACGGAGCCAAUCUCAAAAAGCCUAUCUCAGUUCGGAUUGGAGUCUGCAACUCGACUCCAUGAAGUUGGAAUCGCUAGUAAUCGCGGAUCAGCACGCCGCGGUGAAUACGUUCCCGGGCCUUGUACACACCGCAUAC